rnacentral:rRNA from 1 species
GGUUCGAGUAUGAAUGAAGUUUUGGUAAUUUUUUUUAUUAAUUUUAUAAUGAAUUUUUUUUGUAAAUAAAAAAUUUUGUUUUUAUUUUUGCAAAGAUAAGUCUUCGUAAAUUCUUUUUAAUUUUUUUUUUUUAAAAAAAAAUUAAAGUUUUCUAGGGUAGAAUUUUUUGUAUGUAUAUUUUUCUAUUAUUAGUUUAGAGAAUUACUUCGGAGUUAACAGAAAUUCAUAUUUUAUCUAGUUCUUAUAGUAAAGUAAGUUUUACAUCGGUGUUGUAUUUAUAUUGUUUGGGAGGUAGAAUGUUCAAUAUUUAAGACUGUUCUUCUUUUUAGUAUAACGUGAUAUUAGUUUAAUUCAUCGUGAGAUAGAAUUGUUUAUCUUGAAAAAUAAUUUUUUUUUUUAGGUUUUUAGUACGAAAGGAAAAAUAGUUGAAGUUAAAAACUUUAUGAUGUACGG